rnacentral:tRNA from 1 species
GGCGCUAUAGCCAAGUGGUUACGGCGACAGAUUAGAAUGUCAAGAAGAUUGUAGAUGUAUAUCUGUUCCUCUUUGAGGGCGCAGGUUCGAAUCCUGCUGGCGUCG